GUAAACUCUAGACCAGCAGCAGCAGCAGCAGCUUUUCCUGGAGGAGAUUCAGCGUUUUUUCGAGAGCAAACCCUUGUAUUAUUUCAUAUUUACUGUUUUAUUAAGUGUAUUGUGUUUUACUUAUUAUAUUAUUGUUAUAUUGUCUGUAUUGUCUGUUAUUAAUCAUAUAUUUUGUUUUUCAGGUGUCGGAGGCCGGUGAGGGUAUAACUUACUGACACCCCGCGGUCCGACAUGGAGUUUUGGCGUAGCGAAGAGCAUCGCCUGGAGGGGGCUUCUGGUGGUUCAGGAGACCCCUUCAUUCUGCUGCCUUUUUGUGGCACUGAGGAGCUGAGGGCUGCCUGUCUGCAGUGGCAGGGUGAGGGUAAGACCCCUGGAUGGAGCUCAGGAGUGUCCAGCAUGAGUUCCUCGAGGGGAAGCUGAGGGCCCUCAUUCAGAAGGUGGAGUCUCACUGCGCACGCGACCCCCCCACUCUCCUGCCUUUAUGCGAGGAGCCAGACCCCUGGACGGAGCUCAGGAGGGUUCAGCAUGAGUUCCUCGAGGGGAAGCUGAGGGCCCUCAUUCAGAAGGUGGAGUCUCACUGCGCACACGACCCCCCCACUCUCCUUCCUUUUUGCGUCUCCUCGCCGAGUCCUGGUGCAUGUAGAAGAGGCAGAUCCCUCUCACCGGCUGGACCUUCAGGACACAAAGCCUGAAUUGGAGCCAGUGCCAGCUGCACAGGACGAGGACGACCUGGAGAACGACGUGGAGGUCCUGGAGUUGGAGCAUCACAGGCCAGGAGAGACAGCUCCAAACAGAAAGAGAGGAUGGCUACAGCACCUGCUCAGCUGCUUCAGGUGGAAAGCAAGAAAGAGCUGAAAAGGUGAUCUGUAGAGGAUCUGGCUGUAGAGCUGUACAUACAUACACAAACACAUACAUAAAUACAUACAUACACACACACACACACAUUGAAUGGUUAGAAUUUUGGUAAAUGGACUGAGGCACACAGUAGGAUGUAAGCAGUAAUCUAGAUGAUGGGAUAGUGGUCUGGAGGUUGUGGGUAAUAUCCUGUGAUCUCCUAUGUCGUGAGAUUGGAGGGGGGUGAGUCUGGGAUGCCAGAAUUCACUGCUCAGUCUUCCUGAGGUGUUCAGCGUAACGCUUAUGAAGGGAGGUCCUCAGCGGAUGACCCCUGUGAAGAGCUUGUGGCGUAGUGAAGGAUCAGUGUAUCAGUGGGAGAAGGGAAGGAUGGGUGUUUCAUGUUUGGGAUAAAUGUUGCUGAUUGGAUGGCAAAUGGCCACAGCAGCGUAGUUGUUAGCUGUAGGAGUUUAUGGUUCUCGUGUAGUUUAAUGUAAAUGAGUGGGAGAGUAGAGUAUAGAAGGGAAUGGGUGUAGCUCUAGAUUUAACCACAAAAUGCGUUACUUACAUAGAUAUAGAGAUAGACGAAUAGGAUACACAUAGAAAUACACACACAGUAAUACACUCACAUACACACACACAUACACAUACAUACACACAGUUUUAAACAUAUACAUACACAAACACACGUACACAUCAUUUCAAACACACAUACACACAACUGUUUUUGUCUUUAUGUGCAUAGUUGUAUGUAUGUAAGUAUGUGUUUUUGUUUCUGUGUGUAUGUAGGUAUGUAUGGAUAUGUGUGUUUGAAAUUGUCUGUAUGUAUGUGUAUAUAUGUCUGCAUGUAUGUGCAUGUGUUUGUAUGUGUAAGUUCAUGUAAGUAUGUGUGUUUGUAUGGGUAUGCAUGUGUCCGUAUGAAUGUGUGUGUGUAUGAAUGUGUCUGUAUGAAUGUGUGUGUGUGGAGAAUCUUGUGUGUUCCAAUGGACCUGAAUGGUAUAAAAACAUUUUGGGCACCCUAAAAAGUUUCAUGAUUUUUCUUUAUAAAUCAUUGUUGGUUCAGAUCUGCAAUUUCAGUUAAAUAUAUCAUACAGAAGAUGAACAUAGUGAUAUUUGAGAAGUAAAAUGAAGUUUGUAGGAUUUAUAGAAAGUGUGCAGUAAUUCUUGAAAUAAAAUUUAAAUUAAACAAUUUUUAAAAAUUUGGGCACGGUUGAUUGCUGGUCCAAACAACCAGUGAUUUAUAAAGGACUGUUGUAAAUGUUUCAAAGAAUCCAAUUUGCCCGAUUACCAAUCAGGAUGCUCCUUCUGAUCAGGAUCAUGAUGGAGAUGACCAUGAUGAGGAUACUAUCUCUGGGUGCUCUGAGAGGCCUUCAGAGGUAAAAUGGUCAACUACAAAUUCAGUGUUAUUUGUACUGAAAUAGCUAAUGCAUUUAUGUCCUACUGAAUACACAGAACAUACAGUACACAGAACAAACAGAGCAUUCCUUCCAACCUGGACCCUCCACAUGCAGGCGUAGUAGGGUGACCUCUGAGGUGAAUCAGCAUUUCACAGUCAGUUAUAAUUUAUGUGUUUUUGUAUGUUCAUGAAUACGUCUCCCACAAAUGAAUAAUGAAAAUCUCUUUUUAAAGGUUGGAACAGACACUGUACGAGCAUUGUACAAAAGAACACUGGAGCUGGAUAUACAGUACAAGCUCCUAUAGAAAAAAGGAUUAAGCCAAAAAUACAACAACUGGAGUAUGAAAAAAUGCUAUAGUCAGACUUAUAUUAAAUGUUAAUUUAAUGUACAUAUCUCUCCCCUUUUAGCAGAAACACCCCUGAAAGAUUAUUUUUUAAAUAAAACUCAAUUAGUGAUAUAA